rnacentral:rRNA from 1 species
GAUGAACGCUGGCGGCGUGCCUAAUACAUGCAAGUCGAGCGAACAGACGAGGAGCUUGCUCCUCUGACGUUAGCGGCGGACGGGUGAGUAACACGUGGAUAACCUACCUAUAAGACUGGGAUAACUUCGGGAAACCGGAGCUAAUACCGGAUAAUAUAUUGAACCGCAUGGUUCAAUAGUGAAAGACGGUUUUGCUGUCACUUAUAGAUGGAUCCGCGCCGCAUUAGCUAGUUGGUAAGGUAACGGCUUACCAAGGCAACGAUGCGUAGCCGACCUGAGAGGGUGAUCGGCCACACUGGAACUGAGACACGGUCCAGAAUCCUACGGGAGGCAGCAGGAGGGAAUCUUCCGCAAUGGGCGAAAGCCUGACGGAGCAACGCCGCGUGAGUGAUGAAGGUCUUCGGAUCGUAAAACUCUGUUAUUAGGGAAGAACAAAUGUGUAAGUAACUAUGCACGUCUUGACGGUACCUAAUCAGAAAGCCACGGCGAACUACGU